GUGCUUUGGCUUCUCUUCAGAUCAUAUAAAUCUUUCACCUUUUCCUAAAGAUUUCCAUGGAGAGUAGCACUCAGAGUUUUAAACAAUUUUCCUUUUCUAUAUGCACUUCCAAUA